AACUCGACGACGCGCGUAGGUUCUCGACAUUUCUCGAUAGAAUCCGAGACGUUCAGUAUCAUCGUCGAGUAUAUAUAAAAUAUAUAUAUAAUAAUAUAAAUAUAUAUAUGUAUAUCUAUCUUCAAUUCGUUUCUACUUUUCAUGCUUGACCGAAUAUCAAGCGAAGAUACGUCUUUACGAUUUGUUUCUGAACGAAGUAUCGUCUAAAAGAUGCCAUAUAAAUUCAAAGUCAAUAGAUACAAUGUUAUACUAAAGAGUAGAAGUGAUAAAUUAACAAGACGAUUUCGACUUUCUCUAGGCGGAUUAUUGAUGAUGCUUUGAAACGUUCUCGAAGAAUCGUGCCUCUUCAGGUGCAGUGUUCUAUGGCUGACUCGGAUGCUAUCAAGUUUCCUUUAAUAUAAGAGGAUGUAAUAAAAUUUCAUUCGAGGAGAAAAUCAUAAGAAAGUAGGAAAUAAUAAUACUAAAAAAUAAAAAAACAUUAAUAAUCCAUGGGAUUGGUCAAUAAGUAAUGUUAAAAUUUGUAAUAUAAAUAUAUAUGGAAAUAUGAAUAAAUAAACAAUAUUAUAGUAUAGUAUACAAUAGUAUUGUAUUAGGAGUAUAAUAUUGCCUUAGCUAAUAAUUAAUUUUCAGUAAAAAUUUCCAAUAAGAAAUUAGUAAAAUGCAGUUUUAUUUGUUUAUGCAGAUAUAAAGUAUUGAAAAUUCCAAUAUUAUUUAUUGGCCGAUUUAUAAUGACAGCAAUAUUCAGCCUAGUUUCAAAAUAAUAUUUUAACAUGUUACUUUCUCCGGAAUUAAUGACUAUUUAUAAAUUUGCUUAUAUAGCAAAGACGAAAUAUAGAGUGAAACGCUAUCAGAAAGAAUAUAAAUAAUGAUAAGUGAGAAAGAAGUUUAUAAAAAUACUAAUAAGGAUAAAAAAAAAAAGAAAGAAAAAAAAAGCAUAUUUGGUAAUAUUUAAAACAAC